AGUGGAAAAUGGGGCAUCCAUCUAAGCCAUUGGUACCGGUUCCCUUACGAACCGGUGCCAAUGGGGCAAUCUGCACCGGUUCGGGGGCUCAGGCGGGCGAGGAGCAAUGGCACCGGUUCGUGAGGGGCUUUCGUACCGGUUCGUGUUAGGAACCGGUACGAAAGGUCUUCGGCCAUUUGUCAGACGCGUGGUGGGGCUCGGGUAGGACCUUUGGUACCGGUUUUUAACACGAACCGGUACCAAAGGGUGCCCCCUAUAUUAUCAUCAAGUCUCGAGCCCGUCCCCUGGCCGGCUCUUCUCUUCAUCUCAUUUUUCUCUUCUUCCUCUCACACACAAAAUUUUUGCACCUCUCACACUCCAAUAAAUCUCUAUUUUUUCUCCACCAUUUUAACAAGAUUAACGGCAUGCAUCUAUCCAAGGGUUAGCAAUAUCAUCCUUUCUUCCGGCGUUCCUAAUUUAGCUCAUUUCUUUGGUAGUUUAACUCGUACUAUUUUUCUAGUGCUAGCAAGGUGUUUGAUGAAAUGCCUAAGUUAGGGAUUUUACUUUUUUUAUAAUCAAUUUGAGCUGAAAUUAUGGUAUAUUUUGUAGGUUUUAAUUAGUAUCAUCCCCGUCCUCACCGCCGUCGAUCGCUAGCGUCGUCCCCUAGCCGGCACCGUACAACCUCGAUGAGUCGACAAUGGAUGUACGGUGACCGGGUCCAUCCCGAGUUCAUUACUGGCAUGCAUUAUUUUCUCAACGUGGCUGAGGCAAACAGGCAGUCGAAUGGUUUCAUG